CAAAAGUAAAUGGACACUCUCUUCUAAUGUGGUCAUUUUUAUAUGUGUGUGUGUGUGUGUGUGUGUGUGUGUGUGUGUGUGUGGGCUGCAGGUCCUGGUGGGGUGUGUAUCUGCAGAGCGGGCCAGGCUGAUGAUGCUGUGGGGUAAAGCUGUGUCUCUGAGGCGUCAGUGCCACACUGUGAAAACCGCCACAGACAAGGAUCUGUGGGAGUUGAGGGCGGAGUUUUCUCGUCUGUCAUCAACCUUGUUCUCAAUGGGUUUCCCUCCCGUGGUGCCCCGCCCCUCCGUCCUCUCCUCCUCCACCGGGCCAAUGACCCUUGAGGAACUGAACCAGGAAACGUCCACCACUAACCAUCUAGAUGAUCAGGAGAGCCUCACCCAGCAGCUCAGGUCUAGGAUUGAAGAGUUAACAGUGACUGUCCAAGCCCUGGAGAGUGAGAGACAGAGGCAGGAGGAGGAGAGAGAGAGGAGGCGAAGAGAGGAAGAGGAGGAGAUGGAGAAACACCAAGAGACUGAGAGAAACCUGGAGUCGGUCCAGCAGGCUGUCAAAAAGCUGUACAGGGUGCUCAGUUCUCAAAAGCUGGAGGGACAGUCCAGGAUGAGUGACCACUCUAAUAACGGUCUGCCUGCUCUACUGGCUAUUAUUGCUCAGGCUGAGAGCGCCCUCCUGUGGAAACACCAGGAGCUGCAGGAGGCUGAGGGGAGUUUGCAGAGAGUGAAGCUGGAAACACACUCUCAGGAUCAGCGAAUCACAGAGCUAGACAGAGAGAUGGCGGAGUUAGAGGAUCAGCUCAGCAACAAAGAGGCGGAGUUACAGCGUGCUAACACACAACUCAGCAGUUUGGAGGCGGAGCUUCUGGAGAACGCACAGCUGUGCGAGAGGGAGAGCCGCAGCCGUGUGGAGCUGCACAGCCUGCAGGGGGCGCUGGAGAGAGAGCGGCUGGACAGAGCACGGGCCGAGAAGGAGGCGGAGGAGAAUAAGGAUGCUCUGCUGCAGGCUCGUCAGUCCCUGCUAUCUCUCUCGUCCGCUCACACUCUGCUGAAGAGAGAAGCAGCAGAUGUAAGAGAUGCUCUGGAGAAAAUGUCCGCCUUAAAUGAAGCCCUGGUCCAGGAUAAGAGAGAGCACAACAUCCGCACACUACAGCUGGAGGAGGAGGUGUCUGAAGCUCAGUUGAAGCUGCAGAAGUUCAGCUCUGAGGUGGCGGCCCUGCAGAGGGAGCUGAAGACUGUUACAGUGGAAACAGCAGAGUUAAGGGUUGGCAGGGAGACGGAUCUGGACGUCCUUCAGCAGCUCAGAGCUGGAGAGAGAGAGCUACAGACAGAAAUACAGACACUGAGAGAGGAGAGAGAGCAAGAGACAUCUGCUCUAGCUGAGGAGAGAGAGAAGAAUGAACAGGUAUAGAUUUCAGUCAGUUAUUUAAAAUGGUUUUGGUGGGUUUGAUGUGAAAUGCUUAGUUCUGGAUA
rnacentral:lncRNA from 1 species